rnacentral:lncRNA from 1 species
GACAUGGAUCAGCCACCCCUGUCUGCCCUCCUACCGCUUCUCACCCCUCGGGGAAGGGGGCAGCAGCCGGCUCCCCGGGGGGAUGCACCGAGAGGCCGGAGGCAUCGGCACCAUGGGGAUUGAAUUGCAGCUUGGCGAGAUUGGGGGCUGAUGCCGCUUGGGCAGCGUAAAAGGGGUGGAAAUGCCCCCUACGAGUUGCCUCCCCAUACAGGGCCUCCCAGCCCUGCGUGGAGUGGGCAGAAAGGCCUGCGCCCAGCCCCUGGUGUGGGGGACAGAGUGGGCGCAUGGCCAGCAUGCGGGGUGCUGUGCCCGGUCUCUGCUCCCCCGGGGCCCGGUGGGAAGCAGAGGGGCAGAGCAGCGGUGAGGCUGUGGGGUGGGCAGUGACCCCAUCUUGUCGCAGCCCCAAGGAGCAGCCUGUGGGAUUGCCCCUGGUAGCCGGGCUGGUCGCUCCCAGAGAGCGGGGAGAGCACGCCAGGAUACGCUGCCCAGCCCGGAGCAGGAAGGGGUGGGACCUGCCUUGUUGGUGGCCUCUGCGCACAGGCUCCUCUCCAGACACACGGUUCUCCUGGUGCAGGAUGACAUCUCACUGCCUCUGUCUUGGCCUGACACGACUGGUUCUGCUCUGCUGCCUGCCUCUGGUUCCUGGGGUGAUCCUUGUGCUCGUGUGAAUUUCUUCAAUCAGCCACCAACAUUGUUUGGCCUUUUUACUGUUGUGCCUGAAAGGCGGCUUGUGGGUGUGUUCAGCCUCAGCACGUUUCAGUAACAGCGCGCCCGGACCCAUGCGGCCUGAGCAUCGUGCCCAAGGACCCGGCGGUGGCGUUCGGGGGUGACGUGGUUCUGAACUGCACCAGCACGUGCUCCAAUCACACCAGCCUGGGCUGGGAGACGUCGGUGCCGAAGGUGAUGGAUCGGGGAGACGGCUGGGUGUCUCUGAACAUCUCCAACCUCAUGGAUUGGAACCUGGAGCCCCUGUGCUACAGCAUCAACCCGCAGAUCAUCGAAAAAGCCAGGCUCCACGUGUACCGAUUCUCACCCCCCGAGAUCCACCUGGGAGCCGAGAUGGUGGCCGGUCACCAGGAGCAAAUCACCUGCAACGUCUCCAGCCUUGUGUCCGGCUCCAGCCCCUCCGACAUCAACGUCACCCUGAGCAGCGGGGACAACAGCACCCUCAACGAGAGCCGCGGCAGCCCGGCCGUGCGGUACAGCUUCGUGGUGCGGCCCACGCAGCACGGGCAGGAGAUCGUGUGCCAGGCCUGGCUCCGCGUGGGCCUCCAGGUGCUGAGUAACAGCGCCAGGGCCACCCUGAAGGUCUGGGCCCCGCCCCAUAGCGUGAAGGUCUCCGUGGAGCGGCUGGAGUUCGGGGUCGGCGCUAACUUCACGGUGCGGUGCAGCGCCGAGGGGAAUCCCCCGCCCGAGCUGCACUGGGAACUGCCCUCCAACACCAGCGUGGAGCUGUCUGACCGCGGCCGGAGGGUGACCGUGCGCUCGGCCCAGCGCGCGCACAACGGGACCUACCGGUGCCUGGCACAGAACAAAUAUGGGGCCAGCUCGGGGCAGGUCGAUGUCCUCGUCGAAGUUCCCCCAAGGUCCCGAAUCGUGAUAGUCGCAGUGGUGCUGGGGGUGAUUGUGUUUCUCGGCGGCGUAGCCCUGGUAGUGUGGUGGCUUGUGAGAAAACGCUUCAUGACGUCUUAGCUGCGGCCCGCGGCAGCCGCAGUCCAGGGCUGUCCCCGCCCGCCCGCAGUGGGGAAGGCGACUCGGGGAAGGGGAAAGCACUGGGCAGUGAGGAGCCUGAGCCUUUGGGUGAGGACAAGGAGGAGCCCAGAGGUGUCUGAGCCGGAAGCCCUCACCGCGGGGGACUGGUUCCAGGGGCGGUGGGGUCACGGCCCUUUCCCUGCUGUGCCCCGGCUGGUGGGCUGGGACCGAGCAGAGGAGCCGAGCCGGGCCGCAGCUCUCCAGGAUGUCUAGCCCUGGUGCCUGUGCGUGUGUGUGUGUGCGUGUGUGCAUGUGCGUGCGUGUGAGUGUGAGCCUGUGUGUGCACGUGGGAGUGUGCAUGUGAGUGUGCGUGUGUGUGCGUGUGUCCGUGUGCAUGUACAAUCCUUUUUCCGGUGCCCUGGGACUGUUCCAUUUACAAUGAGUCCAGUCCAGACGCUCAGGUAACCCCAUGCUCCCGCCCCCCCAGUGGCUUACAUUGGUUCCUCUUGGUUUGUUGGUCUCAAAUAAACUGACUGCCCAGGCACCUUCUGCUCUGUGUGUGAGGCUCGCGACCCCACCCUGGAGCAGCCCCCCGCGGGCGCCCAUGGAGGUGUUAGCCGUUGGCAGGGCAACGCACGGAGCCUGUAUCAGC